CAGCCCAAUAUCCCAGCUUGGUCGAUCUUGUUGUUGUAUCGCAUCCUUGCUCCACUCGGACAAGUUCUACGGCAAUCUUUUAUUACGAUGGUUCGUUAAAGCUACUAUGCCAAUGAAGUUUGUAUAUCAAUAACAAUAUUGGUUCUUUCACAAGUGCACGUAUUUCCUCGGAGCACAAUCACGUAGACAACGCACGGUUCAUAGAAUUACCAAAUAAUGAGUAUUGUUUAUUUUUUCUAAGUGUUAUUUGAUUUAAAACAAAAUGUUUGAUCACAGAAAACGAUAGUUUGACUUUGCCUGCUCCCUAUAAUCCGUUUGUCGGUCCAAAAACAUCUAAAGAACUCAAUAUUAAUUCGACGUUUUUAACAAACGACACAAGUUUAGAAGCAGCUACCAAUAAUAAUACCUCAAAAUAUGAACACCAGAUAGUCGUCAAUAAUCCUACUGGCAAGUAUUAACAAGUGUCGCUCAAAUACGUUUUAUUUAUUUUUGUUUCUAUUUUCAGCACACAAAAAAAGACAAAUUUCUACUCCUCUUGCGUACAAGGAACUUGAGGACUUACACGUAAUGUUUGACGAGUUUUGUGUCUCAUUAACUGCUCAGAUUAAUGAAAAAAAAAACGAUGAAAUCAAAGAAAAUUUCAAGGUGAUCAAUAACCGCCUGGACCAAAUUGACACCAAAAUGGAUAUCGUUUUAAAGAAUACAACACGUUCUAGAUUCAUAUCUGUCGCUGACGACAAUUUAGGCUUAAAAAACAAAGCGUUGCUAGGUCAAUAAAUGCUGACUAGCUAUGUUAUGCAACGAGCCAGCGAUGCGCGCUGGUUUAACGAUUAAAUGGAAAAAUAGGCUAAGAAGAAUAGAUUAAGAAGAAUAUGCUGAUCGACGACGGUCAGCAUUUUUAGAGUAUAAAAUCAAUUGAAUAAAUUAAUGAAGCCAUUACUUGCCAAGAACCAGUUGGUGCGUUCAUUAUUGUGCUUAAGUCGGCGUGUACUGUGCCUGUCUUAAGCUGCUGCUGCGAAAGACACUUUCGUGUGCGCGACAAUAUCAGAAGAACUGAUUACGAUGACUCGUCCUCGCGAAGGUUUACUUCGCAGGACGGAAUUUGAAGUGAAUCAGAUUAAUUCUGAAGAAGAAUUGAAAACCUUCGAUGUUAAACUAAAUAAUGAUUCAGAUUUCAAGCGAAAGGUAGUUAGAUGGAUGCAACUGCAAAUCACACGCAAUGAUGUGGAUAAUCGUUUACACGAUGCGAUAGAUUUAUUAUUUACAAAAACAUUCUUUGCGCAAAUGAAUUGGUCCGGUAUAUGCAAAACAUGUAAUGUAACUAAAACAGGUUUACGUAAUUAUAAGAAUUUUUUACAAUUAUUUGUAGAAAUAGGGAGCACAAAUUCAUUAACACCGGCUAUUAAUUAUGUUGCUUUAUAUUUACAAAAAAAAUUAAGACAUGCUGCUGAACGUAUACAUUAGUGAUAUGCUGUAUGGAGCGCAACCACGGCUCCGAUCCGACUCCGACUAUUGUUAGUUCGAUUCCGACUCUGGCAAAAUGGAACCACUAGAUGAAUGAAAACUAGAAAAAUGUGUGGAAAUAUUUCCUGUGUAGUUGG